GAUGAACGCUGGCGGCGUGCCUAAUACAUGCAAGUCGAGCGAACAGACGAGGAGCUUGCUCCUCUGACGUUAGCGGCGGACGGGUGAGUAACACGUGGAUAACCUACCUAUAAGACUGGGAUAACUUCGGGAAACCGGAGCUAAUACCGGAUAAUAUAUUGAACCGCAUGGUUCAAUAGUGAAAGACGGUUUUGCUGUCACUUAUAGAUGGAUCCGCGCCGCAUUAGCUAGUUGGUAAGGUAACGGCUUACCAAGGCAACGAUGCGUAGCCGACCUGAGAGGGUGAUCGGCCACACUGGAACGGAGACACGGUCCAGACUCCUACGGGAGGCAGCAGUAGGGAAUCUUCCGCAAUGGGCGAAAGCCUGACGGAGCAACGCCGCGUGAGUGAUGAAGGUCUUCGGAUCGUAAAACUCUGUUAUUAGGGAAGAACAAAUGUGUAAGUAACUAUGCACGUCUUGACGGUACCUAAUCAGAAAGCCACGGCUAUCUACGUG
rnacentral:rRNA from 1 species